UACGGAGGGGGGUUAGCGUUGUUCGGAAUUACUGGGGCGUAAAGCGCGCGUAGGCGGGGCUGUUAAGUCGGGGGGUGAAAUCCCGGGGGCUCAACCCCCGGAACGGCCCUCGAUACUGGCAGCCUAGAGUUCGAGAGAGGUGAGUGGAAUUCCGAGUGUAGAGGUGAAAUUCGUAGAUAUUCGGAGGAACACCAGUGGCGAAAGGCGGCUCACUGGCUCGAUACUGACGCUGAGGUGCGAAAAGCGUGGGGAGCAAACAGG
rnacentral:rRNA from 1 species